UAUAAAUGUUGACACAUUGCCUAGUGAC
rnacentral:piRNA from 1 species